CUUUGCUGUGUCUAUGAGCGUACUAUGGUGUGGGAGGGUUGCUAUGCUCUGAAUGUGUCAGGGUUGAUAUGGUUUUGCAGAGCGUUGAUUCUUGAUUAGAGUAUCGUAUUCCCCUGUUCGAUAUAGAUAGGCAUUACAGCCCUCCUAUCUCUGCGACCCAUUUUGUAAAUGAGAGGGGAGGUCUCUUUGCUGGGUACGGGAGGCAUGUAACCAGAAUUGUCGAUCUUGCAUGAACAUUUUCAAACACAAAGAAUAACUGCGAUUAACACAUAUGUGCAUAUGCACAUAUGUACAUAUGUCUCUGUGGGCCUUUCCUUUACCCCUUUAUUUGCUCGUAAUGUCCGGUCUGCUCCGAUAUUAAAUGCUAUCGUAUUAAUGUAGGAGCUAUUGGAGUAGGACCUGGGUUAUCCUGUAGUCGGGGCAUA